CUGGCGGUUUCGGUGGUGGUUCUUUUCGUUUCUCAGGUUCCUUAGGCUUUUCGGGUUGUUUAGGUUUCUCGGGUUCUUUGGGUUUUUCGGGUUCUUUCGGCUUUUCGGGUUGUUUAGGUUUCUCGGGUUCUUUGGGUUUUUCGGGUUCUUUUGGUUUUUCGGGUGCUUUAGGCUUUUCGGGUUCUUUUGGUUUUUCUGGUACUUUAGGCUUCUCUGGUUCUUUGGGUUUUUCAGGUUCUUUGGGCUUUUCGGGUUCUUUAGGCUUCUCAGGCUCCUUGGGUUUGGGAGGAGGAGGUGGAGGUUUGAUCUCAAUGCUCUUGAUUGAUCCAGCACCCUUGCAACAUAUCUUGUCCCUCAGCUUCUCAGGAUUGCAGCAUACCACAGUAAUGGUCACGGUGUUGGCUUUCUCAUUGUAUAUCUGGUCUCGUAUUUCUCUUGUUCGCAAAAACCCAUCAUCAAAAAAUUAUCAACUUAAACCAUAUAAAAAACUACUUUGCAAUUAUUAAAAUGCUAAACACAAAAAGGACAAGCAUAAAAAUCAGGAA
rnacentral:lncRNA from 1 species